rnacentral:rRNA from 1 species
CCUACGGGGCGCACCAGUGGGGAAUUUUCCGCAAUGGGCGAAAGCCUGACGGAGCAAUGCCGCGUGGAGGUAGAAGGCCCACGGGUCGUGAACUUCUUUUCCCGGAGAAGAAGCAAUGACGGUAUCUGGGGAAUAAGCAUCGGCUAACUUCGUGCCAGCAGCCGCGGUAAUACGAAGGGGGCUAGCGUUGUUCGGAAUUACUGGGCGUAAAGCGCGCGUAGGCGGAUAGAUAAGUCAGAGGUGAAAUCCCGGGGCUCAACCCCGGAAUUGCCUUUGAUACUGUUUAUCUUGAGUGCAGAAGAGGUAGUGGAAUUCCGAGUGUAGAGGUGUAAUUCGUAGAUAUUCGGAGGAACACCAGUGGCGAAGGCGGCUUACUGGUCUGCAACUGACGCUGAGGCGCGAAAGCGUGGGGAGCAAACAGGAUUAGAUACCCUUGUAGUC